GCUUCACAGACCUGCGGCAAAUUAAAGAAAAAGUUCUGUGUGAAAUAGCCUGAGAAAUGGCACUGUCCCAGGAGCUGACUGAGCUGGUCCCUGCCUAGGACAGGAAGUCAUCGUCUAAGUCUAGAAGGAACUGAAAGAAGACAAGGAGUUGUGCUGACUCUUGUAUCCACCUACAAAUGCCAAUUAAAGUAUACAGUUUGUAUCAGAAUGUGGCAGAAACUGAUUGAGACUGACACUCAUGUUCCC
rnacentral:lncRNA from 10 species